rnacentral:rRNA from 1 species
AGAGUUUGAUCCUGGCUCAGAUUGAACGCUGGCGGAACGCUUUACACAUGCAAGUCGAACGGUAACGUGGGGAGGAGCUUGCUCCACCCCGACGACGAGUGGCGAACGGGUGAGUAAUACAUCGGAACGUGUCCGCUCGUGGGGGACAACCAGCCGAAAGGUUGGCUAAUACCGCAUGAGUUCUACGGAAGAAAGAGGGGGACCCGCAAGGGCCUCUCGCGAGCGGAGCGGCCGAUGACUGAUUAGCCGGUUGGUGAGGUAACGGCUCACCAAAGCAACGAUCAGUAGCUGGUCUGAGAGGACGACCAGCCACACUGGGACUGAGACACGGCCCAGACUCCUACGGGAGGCAGCAGUGGGGAAUUUUGGACAAUGGGCGCAAGCCUGAUCCAGCUAUUCCGCGUGUGGGAUGAAGGCCCUCGGGUUGUAAACCACUUUUGUAGAGAACGAAAAGACACCUUCGAAUAAAGGGUGUUGCUGACGGUACUCUAAGAAUAAGCACCGGCUAACUACGUGCCAGCAGCCGCGGUAAUACGUAGGGUGCGAGCGUUAAUCGGAAUUACUGGGCGUAAAGGGUGCGCAGGCGGUUGAGUAAGACAGAUGUGAAAUCCCCGAGCUUAACUCGGGAAUGGCAUAUGUGACUGCUCGACUAGAGUGUGUCAGAGGGAGGUGGAAUUCCACGUGUAGCAGUGAAAUGCGUAGAUAUGUGGAAGAACACCGAUGGCGAAGGCAGCCUCCUGGGACAUAACUGACGCUCAGGCACGAAAGCGUGGGGAGCAAACAGGAUUAGAUACCCUGGUAGUCCACGCCCUAAACGAUGUUAACUAGUUGUUGGGAAGUAAAAUUCUCAGUAACGCAGCCAACGCGAGAAGUUAACCGCCUGGGAAGUACGGUCGCAAGACUAAAACUCAAAGGAAUUGACGGGGACCCGCACAAGCGGUGGAUGAUGUGGAUUAAUUCGAUGCAACGCGAAAAACCUUACCUACCCUUGACAU